UCUGUCUAAAAACACCCCUUGGGCUCUCCUGCCUGGGUUAAGUUUCGCUAGUCACUCACAGUGGUCGCCUCUCUGCAAGUGUUGACCCGUUCACAUCUGAGGCUCGCUGUUGACGCCUUCCCUUGGUCUUGGGCCAAACUGGACCACGCCUCGAACCGCCCCAAGGAGGCUCCAAAGCAGCCGCAGGUCGGAGGUGUCCGAGCCAGGAAAUGGGGUACCCGCCGGGAGGCCGGGCAGAGCAUCCGGAAGAGAAAGGGGCCCCGCCGCCAUCAGAGAGACGCGGGCAGACGCUCCCCGAGACACUGACCCGGGCCGGGGCUAGGAGGUGAAUGUCCCGCCACCCCAGCGGGAGCCCACCGAAGGCCAAAGCUGACUUACUAAAAGAAGACAUUUUAAGGAGAAAAUUAAAGUAGUAAUAGCAGCAAGAUGGGCAGGAAACUGGGCGGAGGAGCGGGGUAGGGGAAAUCAGGUUUUCGAAUAGGGGCUUAGAUUUUUGCAAGAAGCAC
rnacentral:lncRNA from 1 species